rnacentral:rRNA from 1 species
UACGUAGGGGGCAAGCGUUGUCCGGAAUCAUUGGGCGUAAAGCGCGUGUAGGCGGCCAGAAAAGUCCGCUGUGAAAACUCGAGGCUCAACUUCGAGCUGUCGGUGGAAACUUUCUGGCUAGAGUCCGGAAGAGGAGAAUGGAAUUCCUGGUGUAGCGGUGAAAUGCGCAGAUAUCGGGAGGAACACCUGUGGCGAAAGCGGCGCACUGGACCACAACUGACGCUGAGGCGCGAAAGCUAGGGGAGCAAACAGG